AUCCACACACACCUGUGCACCUUCGCGGGGCUCUCGGGGAACCGACGCAAGUCGUAAGUACCGGAGCUCGCGUCCCUUUACACACCCCUUUGUAUGUCUUAAGAAUGUCUACUCGAUGUAAUAAAACGCAUCUAAUACAACUUUCAACAACGGAUCUCUUGGCUCUCGCAUCGAUGAAGAACGCAGCGAAAUGCGAUAAGUAAUGUGAAUUGCAGAAUUCAGUGAAUCAUCGAAUCUUUGAACGCACCUUGCGCCCUUUGGUAUUCCGAAGGGCACACCUGUUUGAGUGUCGUGAAAUUCUCAACCCUCUUCACUUUUUUGGUGAAGCCAGGGCUUGGACUUAGAGGCUUUGCCGGCUCUGCUCGGCUCCUCUCAAAUGCAUUAGUGCGUCUUGUUGCGACGUGCGCCUCGGUGUGAUAAUUAUCUACGCUGUGGUGUGCUUGCUUCUGUGGAGACGCGCUUUCAAACCGUCCGAAAGGACAACUUUCAUCGAACCUUGACCUCAAAUCAG
rnacentral:rRNA from 1 species